rnacentral:rRNA from 1 species
GUAGGUGGCGAGCGUUGUCCGGAUUUACUGGGCGUAAAGAGCGCGCAGGCGGUCGUACAAGUCGCGUGUGAAAGCCCCCGGCUCAACUGGUGGAGGGUCACGCGAUACUGUUCGACUCGAAGGCAGGAGAGGGAAGUGGAAUUCCCGGUGUAGUGGUGAAAUGCGUAGAUAUCGGGAGGAACACCAGUGGCGAAGGCGACUUCCUGGCCUGUUCUUGACGCUGAGGCGCGAAAGCUAGGGUAGCAAACGGGAUUAGAUACCCCGGUAGUCCUAGCCGUAAACGAUGGACACUAGGUGUUGGUGGUAUCAACCCCGCCAGUGCCGUAGCUAACGCAUUAAGUGUCCCGCCUGGGGAGUACGGCCGCAAGGCUA